AGGAAAAGAAACCAACAGGGAUUGCCUCAGUAACGGCGAGUGAAGCGGCAAGAGCUCAAAUUUGAAAGCUGGCCCCUUCGGGGUCCGCGUUGUAAUUUGCAGAGGAUGCUUCGGGUGCAGCCCCCGUCUAAGUGCCCUGGAACGGGCCGUCAUAGAGGGUGAGAAUCCCGUCUGGGACGGGGUGUCUGCGUCCGUGUGAAGCUCCUUCGACGAGUCGAGUUGUUUGGGAAUGCAGCUCUAAAUGGGUGGUAAAUUUCAUCUAAAGCUAAAUACUGGCCGGAGACCGAUAGCGCACAAGUAGAGUGAUCGAAAGAUGAAAAGCACUUUGAAAAGAGAGUUAAACAGCACGUGAAAUUGUUGAAAGGGAAGCGUUUGCGACCAGACUCGCCCGCGGGGUUCAGCCGGCAUUCGUGCCGGUGUACUUCCCCGUGGGCGGGCCAGCGUCGGUUUGGGCGGCCGGUCAAAGGCCCUCGGAAUGUAUCACCCCUCGGGGUGUCUUAUAGCCGAGGAUGCAAUGCGGCCUGCCCGGACCGAGGAAC
rnacentral:rRNA from 1 species